GACGCCCUCCCCCUCUCUCCUUGUUGUAAAGUUAAAUGUUAGCCGGAUUCCACAAUCGCGGUGAUGUCAGGAUGGAGAGAAAGCGGCGGCACGGCGAAUGUCACAGCUGCCACGCUGUUGUCGUGCCGACGUGCUCGUCCCGCCUCGGGAGAUGAGGUGGACCUGUCGGACGUGAAGCCUCGGGACGCAAGGCCACAGAGUUCAAAUGACCUACAGGUGGAUUUAGCAUGCUCGCAGACGAGGAGACGGAAAAUCGGUGUCAGCACACUCCGUCGCUGGGAAUGAGGUCAAGAGCAACAGGAGGGAGUACCUGACAGUUCUCAAAUGAAAUUGUACAGAUGGGACGAAAUAUUGAAUGGUUUCAAUCUAUUCCUGGACCAUGUCAACACACAUCAGAGGAUAAUCGUUCAGGAUUUUUAAUUUCUUUUAUUUAAUAACAAAGCAUCCAAGCCAUCCAGAACCGAACCUCAAAUGGACUUGAAGGAGAUGUUUCCUGUAGCAAUUCGGAGAUAUUUUAGGAGCGUCCCCACUGGGUACCUCUUCACCUCUUCUCAGGUCUUCUUUGCGGUUCCUGGAUCUCGGAUGUAAGGGAUGACCAGGUGCCGAUUUCAGAACCACCACCGGGUAUCGGUAGAG